rnacentral:tRNA from 1 species
CACUAAGAAGCUAAGAUAGCACUAGCCUUUUAAGCUAGAGACUGAGAGCACAAAUACUCUCCUUAGUGG